GCUGGGUGGAUUAGUGGCGAACGGGUGAGUAACACGUGAGUAACCUGCCCUUAACUCUGGGAUAAGCCUGGGAAACUGGGUCUAAUACCGGAUAGGAGCGCCUACCGCAUGGUGGGUGUUGGAAAGAUUUAUCGGUUUUGGAUGGACUCGCGGCCUAUCAGCUUGUUGGUGAGGUAAUGGCUCACCAAGGCGACGACGGGUAGCCGGCCUGAGAGGGUGACCGGCCACACUGGGACUGAGACACGGCCCAGACUCCUACGGGAGGCAGCAGUGGGGAAUAUUGCACAAUGGGCGCAAGCCUGAUGCAGCGACGCCGCGUGAGGGAUGACGGCCUUCGGGUUGUAAACCUCUUUCAGUAGGGAAGAAGCGAAAGUGACGGUACCUGCAGAAGAAGCACCGGCUAACUACGUGCCAGCAGCCGCGGUAAUACGUAGGGUGCGAGCGUUAUCCGGAAUUAUUGGGCGUAAAGAGCUCGUAGGCGGUUUGUCACGUCUGUCGUGAAAGUCCGGGGCUUAACCCCGGAUCUGCGGUGGGUACGGACAGACUAGAGUGCAGUAGGGGAGACUGGAAUUCCUGGUGUAGCGGUGGAAUGCGCAGAUAUCAGGAGGAACACCGAUGGCGAAGGCAGGUCUCUGGGCUGUAACUGACGCUGAGGAGCGAAAGCAUGGGGAGCGAACAGGAUUAGAUACCCUGGUAGUCCAUGCCGUAAACGUUGGGCACUAGGUGUGGGGACCAUUCCACGGUUUCCGCGCCGCAGCUAACGCAUUAAGUGCCCCGCCUGGGGAGUACGGCCGCAAGGCUAAAACUCAAAGGAAUUGACGGGGGCCCGCACAAGCGGCGGAGCAUGCGGAUUAAUUCGAUGCAACGCGAAGAACCUUACCAAGGCUUGACAUGUUCUCGAUCGCCGUAGAGAUACGGUUUCCCCUUUGGGGCGGGUUCACAGGUGGUGCAUGGUUGUCGUCAGCUCGUGUCGUGAGAUGUUGGGUUAAGUCCCGCAACGAGCGCAACCCUCGUUCCAUGUUGCCAGCACGUCCUGGUGGG
rnacentral:rRNA from 1 species